rnacentral:rRNA from 1 species
UACGGAGGGGGCUAGCGUUGUUCGGAAUUACUGGGCGUAAAGCGCACGUAGGCGGCUUUGUAAGUUAGAGGUGAAAGCCCGGGGCUCAACCUCGGAAUUGCCUUUAAGACUGCAUCGCUAGAAUUGUGGAGAGGUAAGUGGAAUUCCGAGUGUAGAGGUGAAAUUCGUAGAUAUUCGCAAGAACACCAGUGGCGAAGGCGGCUCACUGGCCCGGUACUGACGCUGAGGUGCGAAAGCGUGGGGAGCAAACAGG